rnacentral:rRNA from 1 species
CGCGGCGCAUUAGCUAGUUGGUGAGGUAACGGCUCACCAAGGCAACGAUGCGUAGCCGACCUGAGAGGGUGAUCGGCCACACUGGGACUGAGACACGGCCCAGACUCCUACGGGAGGCAGCAGUAGGGAAUCUUCCGCAAUGGACGAAAGUCUGACGGAGCAACGCCGCGUGAACGAUGAAGGUCUUCGGAUCGUAAAGUUCUGUUGUCAGGGAAGAACAAGUACCGUGCGAAUAGAGCGGUACCUUGACGGUACCUGACCAGAAAGCCACGGCUAACUACGUGCCAGCAGCCGCGGUAAUACGUAGGUGGCAAGCGUUGUCCGGAAUUAUUGGGCGUAAAGCGCGCGCAGGCGGUUUCUUAAGUCUGAUGUGAAAGCCCCCGGCUCAACCGGGGAGGGUCAUUGGAAACUGGGGAACUUGAGUACAGAAGAGGAGAGUGGAAUUCCACGUGUAGCGGUGAAAUGCGUAGAUAUGUGGAGGAACACCAGUGGCGAAGGCGACUCUCUGGUCUGUAACUGACGCUGAGGCGCGAAAGCGUGGGGAGCGAACAGGAUUAGAUACCCUGGUAGUCCACGCCGUAAACGAUGAGUGCUAGGUGUUAGGGGGCUUCCACCCCUUAGUGCUGAAGUUAACGCAUUAAGCACUCCGCCUGGGGAGUACGGCCGCAAGGCUGAAACUCAAAGGAAUUGACGGGGGCCCGCACAAGCGGUGGAGCAUGUGG